rnacentral:rRNA from 1 species
UACAGAGGUCUCAAGCGUUGUUCGGAUUCAUUGGGCGUAAAGGGUGCGUAGGUGGCGGGGUAAGUCUGGUGUGAAAUCCUGGGGCUCAACCCCGGAACUGCACUGGAUACUGCUUUGCUAGAGUACUGGAGAGGGAACUGGAAUUUACGGUGUAGCAGUGAAAUGCGUAGAUAUCGUAAGGAAGACCAGUGGCGAAGGCGGGUCUCUGGGCAGUAACUGA